rnacentral:sRNA from 1 species
UUUAGGGGAGGUUCAACUAAGACCGUCACAUCGAUUGACAACGUUGAACUACCUUACGUCGUGUAGG